rnacentral:sRNA from 1 species
ACAAACAUAUUUAUGAAAGCAAAUGCUAUAUUGCCGUGCAAUUAGUAUGUUUAAAUAGACUUAAAAGACGCUAUUUCGUGCGGGAUCUGUGCAGUUGAUAUUCGACAACUCGUCAAAUUGAAAUGAAAGUCGACAUGGAAAAUCACAAUUUGACCGAGGAACAGGCAAACGGAGACGUUGAAAAGGAAAACAUUGAGCAUUUACCAAAGGAAAUGUCACGACUUCCCGAAUGAGACUUUUGAACAAAGAACAAUCUUCAUUUAAUUCGGAAGAAAAUGGAGGAAAAGGUGAAUUUCAACUGGUGUGAGCGAUCUUUGAGAGACGAGAGCGAGGAUGAAGAAAUUGACAUAGAUGACAGUGGCUUCCAAGAAAGUGAUUCACCGAUCUCUCCGUUAGAUGAAGCUGACAAAUUUGACUUUGAAAAUCUAAGUUCGAAUACAUCGGACUCGGAGAAAAAUUCGUCCAAAUCAAACCUCGUGAAACCUCCGUAUUCCUACAUCGCUCUCAUUACUAUGGCAAUUCUACAAUCAUCCCAAAAACGACUGACACUGUCAGGAAUUUGUGAAUUUAUCAUUAACCGUUUCCCGUAUUACCGUGAAAAAUUUCCAGCUUGGCAGAACAGCAUUCGGCACAACCUCUCUCUAAAUGACUGCUUCGUAAAAAUCCCCCGGGAGCCGGGGAACCCUGGGAAGGGUAACUACUGGACCCUGGAUCCCCGCAGUGAAGAUAUGUUUGACAACGGGAGUUUUCUCCGCCGAAGAAAACGUUACAAGAGGAACCCCAUAGAAAUGCACCAACAGUCUACAGCCUUCAUGUCCUCGGCCGAGCAAUACCUCCAUCACCACCCAUUUCUACCCUCACCGAUGCACGCGCACCAUUCAAGGCCCGGAGUCCCUUACCCCUAUAUGUCUCCGAUGAUGGCAUCACAGUUACCGUUUUUUACCCAGUCCGACUUUCCGGGUCGACCUGCUUUACCUUCCAUUCCAUUCACAAUGGCUAAUUCAAUCCGAGAAAAUUCGCUACUUGGUCCCCUUAAGCCAUUUUCACCCAGCUCAUCGUCCACUGGACCUACACCCCCGAGGAGUCCCGAAUCUCCACCCAGCACCAGUACCAAAAAGGGAUUUUCCAUAGACAGUAUAAUUGGAAAUUCCGACAGCAAUAAAAAAUCUAGUCCUAUACCUUCCACAAGUUCAUCGCCAUUUCGUUCAACUUUAUCAAAUACCAGUGUUGGAACUUUGGGUGUGUCCCCGGCCCUGGCGGCGAGUAUGAGGCCGGGUUUUUUUGACAUGUCACGUGUGGGAAAUGCCGCCCUUCUCGCUCAAUUCCAAUCAGCUUUACCUAGCAUGAACCAAAUAGACAUUGAAAAAUAUAGACAAUAUUUUCAAGCAUGUGGACUCGGCGUAUGGCACCGAUAAAUAUUUUGAGUAUGUAUGUCUUUUAAUAUUGUCUCAGACCAUUAAUAUUUAUUGAUAUUAUAUUGUUCUAUACAUGUGCAGAUUUUGUAAUGUAUUAUAUUACAUGUAGUUAAUUCAUGUCUGUUGAAUGUCAUGUAUUGUUUUUAUCAAGUGCUGGCAAUAUAAAAUUUAUAGCUUUAUUCUC